UAGGGAAUCUUCGGCAAUGGACGAAAGUCUGACCGAGCAACGCCGCGUGAGUGAAGAAGGUUUUCGGAUCGUAAAACUCUGUUGUUAGAGAAGAACAAGGAUGAGAGUAGAAUGUUCAUCCCUUGACGGUAUCUAACCAGAAAGCCACGGCUAACUACGUG
rnacentral:rRNA from 1 species